rnacentral:snoRNA from 1 species
AUGCAUCUCUGACAGAUCUGGAACAGUACUGUCCGCUGCUAAGGUGUACAUUACAGAUGCAAGAAAAAAGUGGCCUCCUGCUUUCUCUGUCUGACUGUGGCAGCCAAGAUUGAAUAGAGGAAUGCAGGG